UACGUAGGGUGCAGGCGUUAAUCGGAAUUACUGGGCGUAAAGCGUGCGCAGGCGGUUUGCUAAGACAGGGUGUCGAAAUCCCCGGGCUUAACCUGGGGAACUGCGUCUGAUACUGGAUGGCUUGAAGUUCGGGAGAGGGAUGGCAGAAUUCCGAGGUGAUAGCGGUGAAAUGCGUAGAUAUCUGGAGGAAUACCGGUGGCGAAGGCGGCAUCCUGGACCGACAUUGAC
rnacentral:rRNA from 1 species